GUGCGCACUUUGGCAGCACUUAUACUAAAGUUGGAACAAUACAGGGAUUAGCAUGGCUGCUGCGUCAUUAGGAUGAGAAGCAAAUUCAUGGAGUGUUCUAUAGUUUC
ensembl:snRNA U6 U6 spliceosomal RNA